rnacentral:rRNA from 1 species
UACGUAGGUGGCAAGCGUUGUCCGGAUUUACUGGGCGUAAAGGGAGCGUAGGCGGACUUUUAAGUGGGAUGUGAAAUACCCGGGCCUAACCUGGGUGCUGCAUUCCAAACUGGGAGUCUAGAGUGCAGGAGGGGAAAGUGGAAUUCCUAGUGUAGCGGUGAAAUGCGUAGAGAUUAGGAAGAACACCAGUGGCGAAGGCGACUUUCUGGACUGUAACUGACGCUGAGGCUCGAAAGCGUGGGGAGCGAACAGG